UGAGUAACCUGCCCUUCACUCUGGGAUAACUCCGGGAAACCGGAGCUAAUACCGGAUACGAGACCGAUUGGCAUCUUUACGGUCUGGAAAGUUUUUCGGCCAGGGAUGGGCUCGCGGCCUAUCAGCUUGUUGGUGGGGUGAUGGCCUAUCAAGGCUUUGACGGGUAGCCGGCCUGAGAGGGCGACCGGCCACACUGGGACUGAGACACGGCCCAGACUCCUACGGGAGGCAG
rnacentral:rRNA from 1 species